rnacentral:rRNA from 1 species
AGCAGUAGCCGCGGUAAUACGUAGGUCCCGAGCGUUGUCCGGAUUUAUUGGGCGUAAAGCGAGCGCAGGCGGUUAGAUAAGUCUGAAGUUAAAGGCUGUGGCUUAACCAUAGUACGCUUUGGAAACUGUUUAACUUGAGUGCAGAAGGGGAGAGUGGAAUUCCAUGUGUAGCGGUGAAAUGCGUAGAUAUAUGGAGGAACACCGGUGGCGAAAGCGGCUCUCUGGUCUGUAACUGACGCUGAGGCUCGAAAGCGUGGGGAACAAACAGGAUUAGAUACCCCAGUAGUCCCUGUCUCUUAUACA